rnacentral:rRNA from 1 species
GACGAACCGUGCGAACGUUGUUCGGAAUCACUGGGCUUAAAGGGCGCGUAGGUGGUUUGCCAAGUCGGGGUUGAAAUCUUUCGGCUUAACCGGAAAAGUGGCUUCGAUACUGGCAAGCUGGAGGGAGGUAGGGGCGGAUGGAACUUCCGGUGGAGCGGUGAAAUGUGUUGAUAUCGGAAGGAACACCGGUGGCGAAAGCGAUCCGCUGGACCUCUUCUGACACUGAGGCGCGAAAGCCAGGGGAGCAAACGGG